GACGAACGCUGGCGGCGUGCUUAACACAUGCAAGUCGAACGGAAAGGCCCUACCUGCAGGGUACUCGAGUGGCGAACGGGUGAGUAACACGUGGAUGAUCUGCCCUGCACUUCGGGAUAAGCCUGGGAAACUGGGUCUAAUACCGGAUAGGAGCCAUUUUUAGUGUGAUGGUUGGAAAGUUUUUUCGGUGUAGGAUGAGCUCGCGGCCUAUCAGCUUGUUGGUGGGGUAAUGGCCUACCAAGGCGGCGACGGGUAGCCGGCCUGAGAGGGUGGACGGCCACAUUGGGACUGAGAUACGGCCCAGACUCCUACGGGAGGCAGCAGUGGGGAAUAUUGCACAAUGGGCGCAAGCCUGAUGCAGCGACGCCGCGUGGGGGAUGACGGCCUUCGGGUUGUAAACUCCUUUCGCUAGGGACGAAGCUUUUUGUGACGGUACCUAGAUAAGAAGCACCGGCUAACUACGUG
rnacentral:rRNA from 1 species